CACGGAGGUCUGGUGUAGGCCUCUGUGAAGCCUGAACUCCAGUAGGGCCUAAGCCAGCCAGGAAGGAGGAGGCAGCCAGAGAGGCCUCCACUGUUCUCUGCAGCAGAAGACCCCCUGCUGCCAGAUAUCAGGGCAGUGAACAACAGAUGAAUAAACUACAAACUAAUUAAACCAAUGACAGCAAUUUCACUUAAAAAUACAACUGAAGGCCAACAGAGACAGUGACAAAAUCAUUGAAAAGGAAGUCAGGGGACAACUACUCACUGGCCCAAGGCUUGGUGGAAAAGGCAGUCUUCAGUUGCCUCUGAAAGACUGGGAAUCCUUGUGAAUCUUACGUGGCAGCAGGUUCUACAGCCUGGGGGCAAUCACCAAGAAGACCCUGUCCUGUAUGCCUGAGAAAUGAGCUUCUGCAGAAGUUGGUUCUCUUUCUCUGGAGGUUUUCAAAUGGAGGCGGAUCAUCAUUGGCCAGAAAUGCUGUAGUUGUUUCCUGCACCAGAAGCGUAUCUAUGGAAAAUAGCACGGAGGGCAAGCACUGAAAUUACACCCCUGUCCAAACAUCUGAUGCAAACUUAGAAUAAAAACUGCUUUGUUCCAGUAGGGUGGGGGAAAAGUAACUUAGUAGGGGAAUACAAAAACAAGCCUACCUCUCACACAAAAUCAGCACAAGUUUCCUGUAAGAAUUCAGCAGUAAAUUGGGUUUUCCAUUUUGUCCCCAAAAUUGUCACUUCCUUAUUGACUGAGCCAUCCAUGAUUGAUCCCUACAGGGAGCAUAAUUCAUUACAGUAGAGGUUUUCAAAUGUGUGCCCGCUGAUGUUGUUGGACUACAGCUCCCAUAAUCCACAGCCAAAAAACCACUGUGGGUGAUGGAUGUUGUAGUCCAACACCUGGGGACCCAUGUCUGAGAACCCCCUGCACUCAACAACCGAGAAACAAAGAAAUAAUUACUUACACAUUUAUUUUUUACAUUUGUAUUCCACUCUUCUUCUAAGGAACUCCGGGUGGCAUAUAUGGUCUCCCACAUUUUAGUCUCAAACUUGAAAGGGGGACACUCAAAAACAUUCAAAAACCUGAUUCCCACAUGCACCCUGAAGUAAAAGGUAAAAGUAAAGUAUGCAGUUUAGUCGAUUUCUACUCCUGCCGCCCACAGAGCCUUUUUUUGGGGGGUAGAAUACAGGAGGGGUUUACCAACCCUGAAGUGGUACAGUCCAAUCUUUCACCUCAGGGCUAUACCACAUCAUUUUAAUGAAUAUGUAAGCUAGAGCUGCAGUGGAUCCGCCUGUCACAAGCUCUUCAGACUUUGAGUAAAGAUACUUGUAGGGUUUGCAUUCUUACUGUAGCAAAAACUACUUUUAUUUGUUCUUACAAUAAACUCCUUUUGUUAAUUAAAACCUCUCUCCCAAGCCAGUUUUCUUGAGUUCAGACACUUGCACAAAUUAAAACUGCUUGGAACUGUCUUUCCUUUUAAGAUGAAUUCCCCACAUUUGCCCAAACUGGGGGUGCUGACCAAUCAUCCCCAAGGCACUUCCAUCAACAGUACAGGCUGACAAAGCAUGGAGAACUACAUAGUGUAGCGCGCACACAUGUACCCAAUAAACACAGUAUCACAGUUCCAGACUAAACAACAAGUCUGGAAGUGCCCUUCUAUUCCUUUUGGCCAGAGAGAUAUUUGAAUUAAAAAUAUU